AGAGUUUGAUCCUGGCUCAGGACGAACGCUGGCGGCGUGCUUAACACAUGCAAGUCGAACGAGAAUCUGCGGAAAGAGGAUUCGUCCAAUAGAAGCAGAGGACAGUGGCGGACGGGUGAGUAACGCGUGAGGAACCUGCCUUUCAGAGGGGGACAACAGUUGGAAACGACUGCUAAUACCGCAUGACACAUAGGUGUCGCAUGGCACUUAUGUCAAAGAUUUAUCGCUGAAAGAUGGCCUCGCGUCUGAUUAGCUAGUUGGUGAGGUAACGGCCCACCAAGGCGACGAUCAGUAGCCGGACUGAGAGGUUGAACGGCCACAUUGGGACUGAGAUACGGCCCAGACUCCUACGGGAGGCAGCAGUGGGGAAUAUUGGGCAAUGGGCGCAAGCCUGACCCAGCAACGCCGCGUGAAGGAAGAAGGCUUUCGGGUUGUAAACUUCUUUUGUCAGGGACGAGUAGAAGACGGUACCUGACGAAUAAGCCACGGCUAACUACGUGCCAGCAGCCGCGGUAAUACGUAGGUGGCAAGCGUUGUCCGGAUUUACUGGGUGUAAAGGGCGUGUAGCCGGGAGGGCAAGUCAGAUGUGAAAUCCACGGGCUCAACUCGUGAACUGCAUUUGAAACUACUCUUCUUGAGUAUCGGAGAGGCAAUCGGAAUUCCUAGUGUAGCGGUGAAAUGCGUAGAUAUUAGGAGGAACACCAGUGGCGAAGGCGGAUUGCUGGACGACAACUGACGGUGAGGCGCGAAAGCGUGGGGAGCAAACAGGAUUAGAUACCCUGGUAGUCCACGCUGUAAACGAUGAAUACUAGGUGUGCGGGGACUGACCCCCUGCGUGCCGCAGCUAACGCAAUAAGUAAUCCACCUGGGGAGUACGACCGCAAGGUUGAAACUCAAAGGAAUUGACGGGGGCCCGCACAAGCAGUGGAGUAUGUGGUUUAAUUCGACGCAACGCGAAGAACCUUACCAAGUCUUGACAUCCGUUGACCGCUGUAGAAAUACAGUUUUCCUUCGGGACAGCGAGACAGGUGGUGCAUGGUUGUCGUCAGCUCGUGUCGUGAGAUGUUGGGUUAAGUCCCGCAACGAGCGCAACCCUUAUGGUCAGUUACUACGCAAGAGGACUCUGGCCAGACUGCCGUUGACAAAACGGAGGAAGGUGGGGAUGACGUCAAAUCAUCAUGCCCUUUAUGACUUGGGCUACACACGUACUACAAUGGCGUUAAACAAAGAGAAGCAAGACCGCGAGGUGGAGCAAAACUCAGAAACAACGUCCCAGUUCGGACUGCAGGCUGCAACUCGCCUGCACGAAGUCGGAAUUGCUAGUAAUCGUGGAUCAGCAUGCCACGGUGAAUACGUUCCCGGGCCUUGUACACACCGCCCGUCACACCAUGAGAGCCGGGGGGACCCGAAGUCGGUAGUCUAACCGCAAGGAGGACGCCGCCGAAGGUAAAACUGGUGAUUGGGGUGAAGUCGUAACAAGGUA
rnacentral:rRNA from 1 species